UUUUCGCGACGAUACUCUCUGUCUAUUCAUCUUUGUGAGAUCAAAGAGGGGCACACAGACACGUUCGGCGAUUUCUUUAGUAUCCCCAGUCCCCCUCUAAAAGUCCUGACUUUUCUUAUUAGAGAUGUUUACACGUCACU
ensembl:ncRNA F39B3.5 ncRNA